CGGUAAUUCCAGCUCCAAUAGCGUAUACUAAAGUUGUUGCAGUUAAAAAGCUCGUAGUUGGAUUUCUGCGGGGACGGAGCGGCCGGACGCAACUUGCGUCUCGAGCUAGCGCUUUCCCCGCAUCCUGCCGCGAACCGUGCUACCAUUAGUUUGGUGGCGCUGGGGAUCGGCUCGAUUACUUUGAGAAAAAUAGAGUGUUCAAAGCAGGCCACACGCCUUGAAUAAGUUAGCAUGGAAUAAUGACUAAGGACUUCGGCUCUAUUUUGUUGGUGUUCGGGACUGAAGUAAUGAUUGAUAGGGACAGUUGGGGCGGUCUGUAUUCCAAAGCGAGAGGUGAAAUUCUUAGACCUUCGGAAGACAAACAGCUGCGAAAGCAUUCCGCAAGGAUGUUCCCUUUGAUCAAGAACGAAAGUUGGGGGAUCGAAGACGAUCAGAUACCGUCGUAGUCUCAACUAUAAACUAUACCAGCUAGGGAUCGGUCAACGUUUAAUUAUUCGACUUGAUCGGCACCUUAUGAGAAAUCAAAGCAUCUGGGUUCCGGGGGGAGUAUGGUCGCAAGGCUGAGACUUAAAGGAAUUGACGGAAGGGCACCACCAGCCGUGGAGCCUGUGGCUUAAUUUGACUCAACACGGGAAAACUUACCAGGUCCAGACAUAGUAAGGAUUGACAGAUUGAUAGCUCUUUCUUGAUUCUGUGGGUGGUGGUGCAUGGCCGUUCUUAGUUGGUGGAGUGAUUUGUCUGGUUAAUUCCGUUAACGAACGAGACCCCAGCCUGCUAAAUAGCGCGGCUGAGCUUUGCUCGGUGCGAGCUUCUUAGAGGGACUAUGAUGCGCGACAGCACAUGGAAGUUUGGGGCAAUAACAGGUCUGUAAUGCCCUUAGAUGUUCUGGGCCGCACACGGGCUACACUGGCGCCUGCAACGAGCAUAUCAGCUGGCCCGAGAGGGUCUUGGCUAAUCUUUUGAACCGGCGCCGUGCUUGGGAUUGACCUUUGCAAUUGUUGGUCAUGCAACGAGGAAUGCCUUGUAAACGCGAGUCAUCAGCUCGCAUUGAAUACGUCCCUGCCCUUUGUACACACCGCCCGUCGCUCCUACCGAUGAAUGUUCCGAUGAAAUUUUCGGAGAGCGCCAGAGAACGGGGCUCUGCCUUGCAGAUCUGGAGGCUCAAAGUCACUUAAAUCUGAACAUUUCGAGGAAGGAGAAGUCGUAACAAGGUAGCCG
rnacentral:rRNA from 1 species